UAAUACAGAGGGUGCGAGCGUUAAUCGGAAUUACUGGGCGUAAAGCGUGCGUAGACGGUUAUUUAAGUCGGAUGUGAAAGCCCCGGGCUCAACCUGGGAAUUGCAUUCGAGACUGAAUAGCUAGGGUGCGGUAGAGGGAAGCGGAAUUUCCGGUGUAGCGGUGAAAUGCGUAGAUAUCGGAAGGAACAUCAGUGGCGAAAGCGGCUUCCUGGACCAGCACCGACGUUCAGGCACGAAAGCGUGGGGAGCAAACAGGAUUAGAUACCCUGGUAGUCCACGCCAUAAACGAUGAGAACUGGAUGUCGGGAGGGUCUGCCUCUCGGUGUCGUAGCUAACGCGUUAAGUUCUCCGCCUGGGGAGUACGGCCGCAAGGUUG
rnacentral:rRNA from 1 species